rnacentral:rRNA from 1 species
UACGUAGGGUGCAAGCGUUAAUCGGAAUUACUGGGCGUAAAGCGUGCGCAGGCGGUUAUGUAAGACAGUUGUGAAAUCCCCGGGCUCAACCUGGGAACAGCAUCUGUGACUGCAUAGCUAGAGUACGGUAGAGGGGGAUGGAAUUCCGCGUGUAGCAGUGAAAUGCGUAGAUAUGCGGAGGAACACCGAUGGCGAAGGCAAUCCCCUGGACCUGUACUGACGCUCAUGCACGAAAGCGUGGGGAGCAAACAGG